AACGAACGCUGGCGGCAUGCCUAACGCAUGCAAGUCGAACGAGACCUUCGGGUCUAGUGGCGCACGGGUGCGUAACGCGUGGGAACCUGCCCUUAGGUUCGGAAUAACUCCCCGAAAGGGGUGCUAAUACCGGAUAAUGUCUUCGGACCCAAGAUUUAUCGCCUUUGGAUGGGCCCGCGUUGGAUUAGCUAGUUGGUAGGGUAAAAGCCUACCAAGGCGACGAUCCAUAGCUGGUCUGAGAGGAUGAUCAGCCACACUGGGACUGAGACACGGCCCAGACUCCUACGGGAGGCAGCAGUGGGGAAUAUUGGACAAUGGGCGAAAGCCUGAUCCAGCAAUGCCGCGUGAGUGAUGAAGGCCUUAGGGUUGUAAAGCUCUUUUACCCGGGAUGAUAAUGACAGUACCGGGAGAAUAAGCUCCGGCUAACUCCGU
rnacentral:rRNA from 1 species